rnacentral:rRNA from 1 species
UAAACUAGGAUUAGAUACCCUAUUAUUUUAUAUAUUAAUUUAUACCAGGGUAAUAUUAGUUAUGUUCUUUAAACCUAAAGAAUUUGGCGGUGUUUUAGUCUAUUUAGAGGAAUUUGUCCCUUAAUCGAUAGUCCUCGUUAUAUCUUACUUUAUUUUGUUUUCAGUAUGUAUAUCGCUGUUAUAAGUUUAUUUUAUUAGAAUUUAAAUUUACUAUAUUUAUUAUUUUAAUUUAUUUCA